rnacentral:rRNA from 1 species
UUAAGCGACUAAGCGUACACGGUGGAUGCCCUGGCAGUCAGAGGCGAUGAAGGACGUGCUAAUCUGCGAUAAGCGUCGGUAAGGUGAUAUGAACCGUUAUAACCGGCGAUUUCCGAAUGGGGAAACCCAGUGUGUUUCGACACACUAUCAUUAACUGAAUCCAUAGGUUAAUGAGGCGAACCGGGGGAACUGAAACAUCUAAGUACCCCGAGGAAAAGAAAUCAACCGAGAUUCCCCCAGUAGCGGCGAGCGAACGGGGAGCAGCCCAGAGCCUGAAUCAGUGUGUGUGUUAGUGGAAGCGUCUGGAAAGGCGCGCGAUACAGGGUGACAGCCCCGUACACAAAAAUGCACAUGCUGUGAGCUCGAUGAGUAGGGCGGGACACGUGGUAUCCUGUCUGAAUAUGGGGGGACCAUCCUCCAAGGCUAAAUACUCCUGACUGACCGAUAGUGAACCAGUACCGUGAGGGAAAGGCGAAAAGAACCCCGGCGAGGGGAGUGAAAAAGAACCUGAAACCGUGUACGUACAAGCAGUGGGAGCACGCUUAGGCGUGUGACUGCGUACCUUUUGUAUAAUGGGUCAGCGACUUAUAUUCUGUAGCAAGGUUAACCGAAUAGGGGAGCCGAAGGGAAACCGAGUCUUAACUGGGCGUUAAGUUGCAGGGUAUAGACCCGAAACCCGGUGAUCUAGCCAUGGGCAGGUUGAAGGUUGGGUAACACUAACUGGAGGACCGAACCGACUAAUGUUGAAAAAUUAGCGGAUGACUUGUGGCUGGGGGUGAAAGGCCAAUCAAACCGGGAGAUAGCUGGUUCUCCCCGAAAGCUAUUUAGGUAGCGCCUCGUGAAUUCAUCUCCGGGGGUAGAGCACUGUUUCGGCAAGGGGGUCAUCCCGACUUACCAACCCGAUGCAAACUGCGAAUACCGGAGAAUGUUAUCACGGGAGACACACGGCGGGUGCUAACGUCCGUCGUGAAGAGGGAAACAACCCAGACCGCCAGCUAAGGUCCCAAAGUCAUGGUUAAGUGGGAAACGAUGUGGGAAGGCCCAGACAGCCAGGAUGUUGGCUUAGAAGCAGCCAUCAUUUAAAGAAAGCGUAAUAGCUCACUGGUCGAGUCGGCCUGCGCGGAAGAUGUAACGGGGCUAAACCAUGCACCGAAGCUGCGGCAGCGACACUAUGUGUUGUUGGGUAGGGGAGCGUUCUGUAAGCCUGUGAAGGUGUGCUGUGAGGCAUGCUGGAGGUAUCAGAAGUGCGAAUGCUGACAUAAGUAACGAUAAAGCGGGUGAAAAGCCCGCUCGCCGGAAGACCAAGGGUUCCUGUCCAACGUUAAUCGGGGCAGGGUGAGUCGACCCCUAAGGCGAGGCCGAAAGGCGUAGUCGAUGGGAAACAGGUUAAUAUUCCUGUACUUGGUGUUACUGCGAAGGGGGGACGGAGAAGGCUAUGUUGGCCGGGCGACGGUUGUCCCGGUUUAAGCGUGUAGGCUGGUUUUCCAGGCAAAUCCGGAAAAUCAAGGCUGAGGCGUGAUGACGAGGCACUACGGUGCUGAAGCAACAAAUGCCCUGCUUCCAGGAAAAGCCUCUAAGCAUCAGGUAACAUCAAAUCGUACCCCAAACCGACACAGGUGGUCAGGUAGAGAAUACCAAGGCGCUUGAGAGAACUCGGGUGAAGGAACUAGGCAAAAUGGUGCCGUAACUUCGGGAGAAGGCACGCUGAUAUGUAGGUGAAGUCCCUCGCGGAUGGAGCUGAAAUCAGUCGAAGAUACCAGCUGGCUGCAACUGUUUAUUAAAAACACAGCACUGUGCAAACACGAAAGUGGACGUAUACGGUGUGACGCCUGCCCGGUGCCGGAAGGUUAAUUGAUGGGGUCAGCGCAAGCGAAGCUCUUGAUCGAAGCCCCGGUAAACGGCGGCCGUAACUAUAACGGUCCUAAGGUAGCGAAAUUCCUUGUCGGGUAAGUUCCGACCUGCACGAAUGGCGUAAUGAUGGCCAGGCUGUCUCCACCCGAGACUCAGUGAAAUUGAACUCGCUGUGAAGAUGCAGUGUACCCGCGGCAAGACGGAAAGACCCCGUGAACCUUUACUAUAGCUUGACACUGAACAUUGAGCCUUGAUGUGUAGGAUAGGUGGGAGGCUUAGAAGUGUGGACGCCAGUCUGCAUGGAGCCGACCUUGAAAUACCACCCUUUAAUGUUUGAUGUUCUAACGUUGACCCGUAAUCCGGGUUGCGGACAGUGUCUGGUGGGUAGUUUGACUGGGGCGGUCUCCUCCUAAAGAGUAACGGAGGAGCACGAAGGUUGGCUAAUCCUGGUCGGACAUCAGGAGGUUAGUGCAAUGGCAUAAGCCAGCUUGACUGCGAGCGUGACGGCGCGAGCAGGUGCGAAAGCAGGUCAUAGUGAUCCGGUGGUUCUGAAUGGAAGGGCCAUCGCUCAACGGAUAAAAGGUACUCCGGGGAUAACAGGCUGAUACCGCCCAAGAGUUCAUAUCGACGGCGGUGUUUGGCACCUCGAUGUCGGCUCAUCACAUCCUGGGGCUGAAGUAGGUCCCAAGGGUAUGGCUGUUCGCCAUUUAAAGUGGUACGCGAGCUGGGUUUAGAACGUCGUGAGACAGUUCGGUCCCUAUCUGCCGUGGGCGCUGGAGAACUGAGGGGGGCUGCUCCUAGUACGAGAGGACCGGAGUGGACGCAUCACUGGUGUUCGGGUUGUCAUGCCAAUGGCACUGCCCGGUAGCUAAAUGCGGAAGAGAUAAGUGCUGAAAGCAUCUAAGCACGAAACUUGCCCCGAGAUGAGUUCUCCCUGACUCCUUGAGAGUCCUGAAGGAACGUUGAAGACGACGACGUUGAUAGGCCGGGUGUGUAAGCGCAGCGAUGCGUUGAGCUAACCGGUACUAAUGAACCGUGAGGCUUAACCU